GGGCCCGCACAAGCGGUGGAGCAUGUGGUUUAAUUCGAUGAUACGCGAGGAACCUUACCAGGGCUUAAAUGUAGUAUGACCGGUCUGGAAACAGACCUUCUCUUCGGAGCAGAUUACAAGGUGCUGCAUGGUUGUCGUCAGCUCGUGCCGUGAGGUGUUAGGUUAAGUCCUGCAACGAGCGCAACCCCUAUUCUUAGUUGCCAGCGGUUCGGCCGGGGACUCUAAGAAGACUGCCAGCGCAAGCUGAGAGGAAGUGGGGAUGACGUCAAAUCAUCACGGCCCUUACGUCCUGGGGCUACACACGUGCUACAAUGGUAUAGACAGAGGGCAGCCACCUGGCGACAGGGAGCGAAUCCUUAAACUAUAUCUC
rnacentral:rRNA from 1 species